UGGCAAUGAUGACAAAAAGGCCGGACUUACGGCUGCUGCUUCCGCUUGGUCGGUAGUAGAAUGAUGAACGUUGCGGUAAAGGUGUUUGUGCUGAGCCAC